UUGACCUCGGAUCAGGUAGGAAUACCCGCUGAACUUAAGCAUAUCAAUAAGCGGAGGAAAAGAAACCAACAGGGAUUGCCCUAGUAACGGCGAGUGAAGCGGCAACAGCUCAAAUUUGAAAUCUGGCUCUCGGGCCCGAGUUGUAAUUUGUAGAGGAUGCUUUUGAUGCGGUGCCUUCCGAGUUCCCUGGAACGGGACGCCAUAGAGGGUGAGAGCCCCGUCUGGUUGGAUGCCAAAUCUCUGUAAAGCUCCUUCAACGAGUCGAGUAGUUUGGGAAUGCUGCUCUAAAUGGGAGGUAUAUGUCUUCUAAAGCUAAAUACCGGCCAGAGACCGAUAGCGCACAAGUAGAGUGAUCGAAAGAUGAAAAGCACUUUGAAAAGAGAGUUAAAAAGUACGUGAAAUUGUUGAAAGGGAAGCGUUUAUGACCAGACUUGGGCUUGGUUAAUCAUCUGGGGUUCUCCCCAGUGCACUUUUCCAGUCCAGGCCAGCAUCAGUUUUCCCCGGGGGAUAAAGGCGUCGGGAAUGUGGCUCUCUUCGGAGAGUGUUAUAGCCCGUCGUGUAAUACCCUGGGGGGGACUGAGGUUCGCGCA
rnacentral:rRNA from 1 species